rnacentral:tRNA from 1 species
GGAGAGGUGCUCGAGAGGUUGAAGAGGCACGCCUGGAAAGCGUGUUACCGUCAAAAGCGGUACGUGGGUUCGAAUCCCACUCUCUCCG